rnacentral:rRNA from 1 species
AUACGGAGGGUGCAAGCGUUACUCGGAAUUACUGGGCGUAAAGGGCGCGUAGGCGGUUUGAUAAGUCAGAUGUGAAAGCCCGAGGCUUAACCUCGGAAGUGCAUUUGAAACUGUCAAACUUGAGUAUGGGAGAGGGAAGUGGAAUUCCUGGUGUAGAGGUGAAAUUCGUAGAUAUCAGGAGGAACACCGGUGGCGAAGGCGACUUCCUGGACCAAUACUGACGCUGAGGCGCGAAGGCGUGGGGAGCAAACAGGAUUAGAUACCCUAGUAGUCC